GCUGGGUACAGUGGUGCAUGCCUGUAAUCCCAGCAGCUUGGAGGCUGAGAUAGGAGGAUUGCGAGUUCAAAGCCAGACUCAGCAAUUUAGUAAGGCCCUAAGCAACUCAAUGACACUUUGUCUCUA
rnacentral:sRNA from 1 species